GCGCUUCCGUGAUGAGGCCUGGAAUGAGCACCGCGUGGGUGCCUGAAUCCCGCUGUGGAACUAUUCCUGUUGCCUUCCUUCUGAGAAGAGC
ensembl:snoRNA SNORD83B small nucleolar RNA, C/D box 83B